GUUUCUUUCUUCUCGUGUUAUCCAUCUUCUGGUCUAUAUGGCAGCUUUGCUUGUGUAUAACAUUUUUAAUUAAAAUUCAAAGGAAACAGAGCAAAAAAACCCACGAAGAAACUAAUUCAAAGGAUCAAGAAACCGCUUCACUUUUAAAAAAAGAUGGUGAUGGUAGUAGGAGAAACAUCCAUGGAGCUUGACCAGUGUUUUCAGAUGAAUAUGGAAGGAGUCUCGCUCAAAGAGUGGAAAGAUAUCCCUGUUGAGCUUCUCAUGAGGAUCCUCCCUGUAACCCCCUUGUUGAUGAUCGGAAUGUCAUUGCUGCUUCUGGUGUUUGCUCUGGCUGGAGAGAUGCCAUCUCUCUUGGUCUCACUCGUCUCCGUCUCUCUUGUGCAACAACAACAUGAACAGCUUGGUUCUUUCUCUUGCACCCAAGUUUGUAAAGCUACAGACUUUAAUACUGCGCCAUGACAAGCCUCAGCUAGAGGACAAUGCGGUGGAAGCCAUAGCAAUUCACUGCCAUGAGCUACAAGAGCUUGAUCUCAGCAAAAGCUUGAGACUCACUGAUCGUUCUCUCUACUCACUUGCUCAUGGUUGUCCUAACCUCACUAAACUCAACCUUAGCGGCUGCACUUCGUUCAGCGACAAAGCUAUUGCGUAUCUGACCAGGUUUCGGCGUCAGCAGCGGCGGCAGCGUCAAUGAGGACAGUUGUUGUUCGUUUCGUAGACGCUGACGCUGCCGCUGACGCUGCCGCAUACUAUAUCGCGACCGCAGAUUUUAUCGGCGUCAGCCCCAGGACGCGGCGUUCGGACGCGGCGUCAGACGCAGUUUCCUGCGUCAACGAAACGAACAAGAGUUGACGCAGAAUGUUGACGCUGCCGCUGCCGCCGGUACCUGCGGCAACCAAACGAACAGCCCUUAUACCUUGGAGGCUAUUGGGAACAACUGCAAUCAGAUGCAGUCACUAAACCUGGGACGGUGUGAGAAGAUCAGUGAUGAUGGGGUCUUGAGUUUAGCUUAUGGCUGUCCAGAUCUGAGGACUCUGGACUUGUGUGGUUGUGUUCUCAUUACAGAAACAUAACAGACAGAGCCAUGUACCCGCUAGCUCAGAGCGGGGUGAAGAACAAACCGGGGCAAUGGAAAUCAUCAGUUAAGAAGAGCUGAGGAGUCUCAACAUCAGCCAAUGCACUGCGCUUACACCUUUGGCGGUUCAAGCGGUUUUCGAUACGUUUCCUGCUCUUCACACGUGUUCCGGAAGACAUUCGCUUGUGAUGAGCGGGUGUUUGAACUUAACGUCUGUGCACUGUGCUUGUAUCCUUCAGUGCUCAUCGCGUGGUUCCUCUCUGCUCACUGAAAGAGAGGGAAUGGGUUAAUGUUGUAUAUAGAAGCAUAAUAUGUUUGAGGAGAUUAGAUGCCAAACUCUAAAAUGGUUCGAGUUGGUUUCUUUAUGUUGUCUUGAAGGAUAUUUUGUAUGUGUUGGUGCGAUGUUCAUCAGGACUGGAAGGACUCUUUGCUACUACUUAAUAUUACCGAAGAUUCUCUCUGAAACCACUCUCAUUAAUCUUUUGGUCACUGGAGAUCUUUAGAGCAGAAGAAUGUUUCCUUCAUCCGAUAACUCUUUCUCAUCCCUAACGGGAUUCUUGAAGCUCUUCAGAUCAAUGCUCCACGACUUCGUCCCGGUGCAGCUCCGAUCAUACUUCUCCGGCUUACUUUCACGGUUCUUCAGUCGGAAAUCGAAGUAUCCCACGGUCGUUAUCGACGAGAAGUUCAGGAACAAAGUCUUCCACGCGGCGGAGAUGUACCUCCGCAAAAAGCUCGGUCCAGAGAUUUAUUUUAUAAUUCAUUCAGUAGCUUUGGUGGUGAUGCUUUAUUUUUUUUUUACCAAAAAAGAAAAAUAUCCGUCUAGAGACGGAGCGAGUACGAGCGGGAAAAACACCGAAAGCAGAAGCUUCGAUACCUCCAACAUUUGUUCCUAGAGAAGCUGAAACAUAUAUAGUCCAUAGGCAACAAUAGCUGCUAAACCUGAGGAAGAUCCACGUGUGCAUCUUUCAGGUGCGUAGGGUACUUCUUGUGAUCAUGCA